UUUCAUCCUUCUAUUCCAAUGAAUGCAUAGCAUAGAGAUAAAAUUGCUGAACCACGUCAAGCAUGACCACCGAGUGUAAGCGAAACCCUAGCUUUGUAAUCAAAAGGCCUCGACUUUCUGUUAUUCGGUGUGGCUUGACUCUUGUGUGCAGACACUAUGCAUGUUGCAUACACGCACGGUCGCCAGUACUCAAAAGGCUGUUGCCACAGAGGUCUUCAGGGUGGGGCCCGGUGUUGACAAUCAGGCCAGCUUACCAGGACGCCGCCCAGCAUGGAGAACUUUAUACAGCGCAGCUCCAGCACGUGAGUGUUGGAGAAGAGAUGGACAUCAUCAAGCGUAAAGCCCAAAGACAGGAUCAUGACCAGCCAAAGUAGGCAAGGCUUCAUGCUUGAUCAGUUGCCCUGGUCAAGGAAAACCUCGCACCCCUUCGAAAGGGGAAAACGUAAAAGGAUACCAAUAGAACCAGAUCGCCUACAGUUGCGCUAAGAGAAUGAGCAUCCAUCGGCACGUGAACGAGCUCACCCAUGCGUUGAAAUUAUAAAACGUGAGAUAUUUUGGGACUGGAAGAAGUCAGAUGGACGGGCUUUGGAGAAACAGCAACUGACGAAGGCCACAAACUCUGGUACAGCGGGGAGGAAACCAAAUGCGAGUAGGACGUGGGCGUCCUCUUACGGAAGAAAGUGAUAGGAGCAUUCAUCAGCUGUUCACCUAUCUCCGGCAGAGCGAUCUCAAUUCGAAUCUCUGUCUGGCUUACAAUGUCACCAUUAUCAAGGUUUACGCUCCGAAUUCCACGCACAACGAUCAUGAAGGGGAAGAAUUCUAUGAACAGCUGGAAUGAGUCCAAAGAUGAAUUUUCUCGUAGUGUUUGGCGGCUGCAACGUGUCGGCCUGAACUCGUAAAUUCGGUAUAGAAAAACUUAAUCUCAGAGCCCUAAGGUUCCUAGAGUUUGCACAGACUUUCCCUAGCCAAUAGCUUUCAUUCCCAUAAAACAUCGAGUAAUGCGACCUGGCGAUCCCCAGAUGGUCCAGUCUAUAACUAUAUCAACUGCCUAGAUGUUUCAAAUCUAUCAUCAGUCAGGUCAAAAACGAGCGACCACAACCUUUUCUUAAGAAGCCUGUAGUUGAAGCUGAAGGUGAAUCGCCGUAAUCCAACCCCCAAAUUUGCUUUGACCUCUUAAGGUGCGAGACACAAACGAAGAAGAAACAACCUGUGUGACCAAAGACUCUCAUCGAAGCUGGUCAGCAAAAUAGGUCAAUCAUCGAUGACAACAAUGGUCACCUUCCAUAUGAAAAGGCUGUACUAAACCGAUGGACUAAUUAUUAUACAGGUUCUCUUUGAGGACAGAUGCUAACAAUCUCCAAGGCAACCAAACUGCGACCAGUGACCCUGCAGACCCCGGGGUUGAGAACGUCCCAGUGGAGUUGAUCAAACGUGGCUGGGAAGAAAAAGUGAAUAUUUACCACGCUGUGAUGGCAGGCAUCAGCAGGGAGUUACAGGACCACACAAACAGGCUGAGAGACAACGCCAGUGUAUACCGGAUGGAGAUCAGCACGGACAAGAGUAAAGUGAUGUAAACACCACCGGGCACUGCAGAGCGGACAUCUACAUAAUCAAAGUAGAGGCGGAGGAGGUAACAGCUUCAAGUGCAUGUGUGCUACGCUUUCCAAAAAUGGCAGCUGAGCAGCUGACGUCGCCUCAGGACAACAGCGACUGCAGCAAUGGCCAAGCUGAACAAAAUACAGGGGAGAAAAUUAUCCUGCUGUACAGGCUGUGAGACGUAAGCUCUGUUUAGUGAGACGGAAAGACGGAUCCAAGAAUUCAAUAUCAAAUACUUGAGAAAACUGCUAUUAAUCUGUUACGGAGAACACAAAACCACUGAUUUCGUAUGGAGUGCGAUAGCCACCAUUGCGGGUCCUCAUGAAACUCUGCUCACAAAAGUGAAACGGCACCAGUUGUUUUGCUUUGGUGAUGUCGUCCUACCCUACACUCCAGGGCUCCGUGAAAGGUGGCUGCCCUCAAAGAAGACAGAAUAAACCUGCACGGCGAACAAAAAGGAGUUAACGGGUCGCUUUACACGGGAUCUAAACACUGCCGUUACAGGUGGCGCACCGUUGCCACUUCUGCCACGGCCACUGGUCCCCCGACUCUCGGCACCGGCAGGUCAGUUCCACUGGCAGGCCAGCUUAUCUGAUGAGCAGCUGGCACCAGCCAAGGGAAGGAUGAAGAUGAUUUUCUAUAUGCCACGUGUUGUUGACAGUACGAUGCUGAGAUAUAGCAAGUGUUGUGUUAUUUUUUUCUUUCAUCAGUAAUGCUUCAGUUUAAGAUUCAGUUAAUAAAUAAAGAAAGGAAGAGAGAAAUAAACAACAACAAACCCCAAAGUAACGGUGUGAAUAUACGAGAGUGCAUAUAUCCGUGUCUCAUGGUCAACUGCCAUGCGUACGUUUGUAAAUUAAAAUUCGAGUAAAGUCUCACGCAGUCAAACUGUUCUAAGGUUUUGCCAUCUUUGCUAAAGAAUUCCUGAUGAAAAUCCAACAAUGUGAACAAAGUAUAAUGAAAUAUAUUACGAUUAUAUAAAAAUAGCGUUCACUUGUAAAGCGUGAUCUCAACAGACAAGAUCAUUUCGCUGUGCGUGUCACAGUAAUUUACCACAGUGACCCUUAACCCUUAAAGCGUUGACAGAAACUUGACUGUUAACAAAUAAGCUCUAUUUUCUGCCCUUUAGUUACAUAUGAGAGAAAACUGAGGGGUACAGAAAGGCUUUUACUAGUAACCUCCUUUCUGUUUGCUUAUAUUUUUACUUUGUCCUAAAUGUUGCUUUCACAUUUAAAAAAAUAAGCGGGGGACAGCAAAUCAUUUGCUGCGGAAAUCAUAAAAAGAGCGUAGUAUGCGAUCAUAAAGCAUAAGUAAAACAGUUUAAACUAUUAUUUUAAACACACAACUACAAUAACAUUUGAAAGAUCUUCCUUGAAAGGAAAAGACAGCUGUAAGAAACAAAACGGCUUGCUGUUUGUAAACACGAUGUUUGUCCGAUAAAGGAGAACGAGAUGGAAUAUAGACGGGGGUUCCCUGAUACUAUAUCAAUGCAUCAGUUUUAAGAAAACACUGUGACAAGAAGGUUACGCACUUGAUCCCGAAUAACCGCAUUACCAGGUGCUCCAGCUAUGGCUAUAAACACCCGGGAUUAUUACUAAGAAUCAUUUUAUAACCUGUUUUUCUUCGUUACAAGUGCACGUUUCUGUAUCGGUACACGGAGUGGUAUAUACGUUUAAUGAUGGACGUAAUGUUUUUAUCUAAUUCAUUUUUUUUUAUAACUUUAGAACCCAAUUUUUAUGGGUUUUCCUUCCUUUGCUAAGAAUGAUACAUAUUGAAAUUAAAUAAUGCUUUACUUUAUAAUGUUCUGUUUCCUUAUGCGUAAUAUGCUAAAUACUAAUAAUAUCAAUGUUGCCUGAAGAUGUGUGUGUAUUUCUAUUCAUAAUUAUGGAAUAUGCAGGGGAACAAAAGAUAAGUGAGAACUAUAAUGCCAGCACUCCCACUGCACAGAUAAGAAAACGACUUGACACUGUUUUCUUCUUAUAAGAAUUGAGAAUUUUAUAAAUAAAGCAGAAUGUGGCUAUAUAUAUAUAUACUUACACAAAUAUGCUGUUAUGUGCAAAAUAACUGUUUCCUAUAUUUUCAUUUAGUCAAAACUCUCUUGUGCUAAAUUUGUGGUUAAUUUUACUGUCAUUUCCUUUUCUUGAGGCUUUUGCAUCCCCACCGAAAAUGCUGAAGAUUUAUACCCACUCUUUCUUUUCCCUCUCCCCAUGCUUUCUCUAUUUAGGCAUACGACGAUCCCUCACCCAUUACCAAGGAAUUGUAGUCAGCGAAGUAAAUAAAAUAACUGCUCAGUUUACUUGCACUAGUGUUUCUUAACAUGAUUACCAAGGGCUCCACAAACAGCUCGUGAUGCAAUGUACGGCGCUCUGUUGCGCAACAACCUGCAGGUUGGAGGCAGAUGUGAGAUGCGAUUAACUCAAGUAGCUUUCGACAUCUUCAGCCAUCCCCUUUAGGUAACCUCUAUCGCUGUCUUGUGAAAUAAUAGCUUAGUCCAUAAUACCGCGGCAUUUGGAGCCAGCUUCCUGCUUACGAAAACAGGAUCUACACCUGCACGAGUAGUCGUGAAAGCAAGCUGAUAAACUCACUAACCUUUAUAAAUGAUUCAUAAAUAAACCCCGAAAUAAUAUUUUGUCAGAGAUAUCUGAAAGACAUAAAGUUUUAGAACACUUUA
rnacentral:misc_RNA from 1 species